UACCUUAAUUUAAAAAUACCUUUUACCAGGUGGAUUUUCAUCAUCGAUGUCAUUAUCUCAAAUUUAUUUGGUUUAAGUAUAAAUAACAUGGAAUAUCAGAAGGAAACCCAGAGAGGUAAACCACUUUGCUCAAGGUCACAUAGCUAUUGUGGAAGUUUAGAAAGUUAGAAGUAUCAUUGGACAUAAUGUAAUUGUAUGAAGGUUCAAUUUACAAUAUAAUAAAAUGUAAACAUUUAGGAAUCACUUAAAUAACAAAACUUUAAGAUGACUUUUAAAUUAGACUUUAACUCACUUUUAUCAUUGUAUGCCUCUCAGUCUAAAGGAGGACUGUGUAACACACAUGGCUAGACUGGGGAUGUUUGAGAAAUGAAGUAAUGGGCAAAAGAUCUUUAAGAUAUUAAAGAUGAAAAAGCUAUAUAGGGAACAUACUGAUCUUUAAGACAACAUAAGCAACUAUCAUGCACUUCCACAAAAUGUCCUUAGACCUCCUUGGGAGUAAAGAAGGCCUCUCUUGACUAGAUUACACUUAAACCAAAAAGCUGAGCCCUAAAAGGAUGAAGAGGAGCCAGCCAGAGGGUGGAGGGGCAGGGAGCAUUUUAAGCAGGGGGAAUGGCCUAUGACGAGGACACAGGACUGGAAAGAGUUUGUCAUGUAUAAAGAACCAAUGUAACUGGAGUACAAGGGAAUUGCACGUAAAGUUAGAGGAACAAGAAGAGUUUUAAGCAAGGGAGUGAUGUAAUCCAGAUAACAUUUUUAAACAAUGUUCCAGUUUUAUGGGAAAUAGUUUUGAAGUAGGAGAAAAAGGAAGUAGGAAACCAGUAGGAAACGUGGCAUAAUAAUCCUAGUGGGCGGUGAUGGUAGGGUGGUAGCAGUUGGGAUGAAAAGAUGGAUUUGAAAUAUAUUUUGGAAGUAUAUUUUUACUAUCUUCAGGAAUGAAAACUACAGAUCCCAAUCUCGCUACCACUUACUAUUUACAUAAGGAAGAGCCUGUAAACCAAGAAAUUGGCCAGCAAAGUGGGAAGAGAUGAAGACACUGAUCCAAAAAAAUUGAAUAGAUAGGUGGUUUGAAAAGAAAGCAACCUGUGUCACUGGUACCUUCAUCAGAGGAAAAAGGAGAGCAUGGGGAAGUAAGGUGAUCUCAAGCACAACUUAAACAGGGCAAUGGCAGCAUCCCAUUAUCUUUUCCUUGUUGCCUUUUCCUGUCCUUGCCCAUUUAUCUAUCCUGGUUCUCCUAAGUUUGAAUCCUUACCCUUCUUUUUAUUAUCAAACAGAUACGUCCAGUAUUUAUUUGAAGUUAAUUGUAUGAAUUUUUUUUUAAUAUCAAAAACUUUAUUUUCUGAUCUUCAGAAUUUCAUGUAUCAUAUUUACUGCCACUUCUUAAAUUUGGUUUUAUAUUAUCCAGUUAUUUCAUAUGUCUGUCUUGCCAGUGCAGUGCAUCUUUUGAUUUGUUGAUGCUGCUUCCAUGGCUGUUGAUUUUGGAUCCAAGUAAAAUGAAAUCCUUGACAACUUCAAUCUUUUCUCCAUUUAUCAUGAUGUUGCUCAUUGGUCCAGUUGUGAGGAUUUUUGUUUUCUUUAUGUUGAGAUGCAAUCCAUACUGAAGGUUGUGGUCUUUGAUGUUCAUUAGUAAGUGCUUCAAGUCCUCUUCACUUUCAGCAAGCAAGGUUGUGUCAUCUGCAUAACGCAGGUUGUUAAUAAGUCUUCCUCCAAUCCUGAUGCCCCGUUCUUCAUGUAGUCCAGCUUCUCAUAUUAUUUGCUCAGCAUACAGAUUGAAUAGGUAUGGUGAAAGAAUACACCCUGACGCACACCCUUCCUGACUUUAAACCAUGCAGUAUCCCCUUGUUCUGUUCGAACAACUGCCUCUUGUUCUAUGUAAAAGUUCCUCAUGAGCACAAUUAAGCAUUCUGGAAUUCCCAUUCUUUGCAAUGUUAUCCAUAAUUUGUUAUGAUCCACAUAGUCAAAUGCCUUUGCAUAGUCAAUAAAACACAGGUAAACAUCCUUCUGGUAUUCUCUGCUUUCAGCCAGGAUCCAUCUGACAUCAGCAGUGAUAUCCCUGGUUCCACGUCCUCUUCUGAAACCAGCCUGAAUUUCUGGCAGUUCCCUGUCAAUAUACUGCUGCAGCCAUUUUUGAAUGAUCUUCAUCAAAAUUUUGCUUGCAUGUGAUAUUAAUGAUAUUGUUCUAUAAUUUCCACAUUCGGCUGGAUCACCUUUCUUGGGAAUAGGCAUAAAUGUGGAUCUCUUCCAGUCAGUUGGCCAGGUAGCUGUCUUCCAUAUUUCUUGGCAUAGACAAUGAGCAUCUCCAGCGCUGCAUAUGUUUAUUGAAACACCUCAAUUGAUACUCCAUCAAUUCCUGGAGCCUUGUUUUUUGCCAAUGCCUUCAGAGCAGCUUGGACUUCUUCCUUCAGUACCAUCGGUUCCUGAUCAUAUGCCACCUCUUGAAAUGGUUGAACACAGACUAAUUCUUUUUGGUAUAGUGACUCUGUGUAUGCCUUCCAUCUUCUUUUGAUACUUCCUGCAUUGUUUAAUAUUUUCCCCAUAGAAUCCUUCACGAUUGCAACUCGAGGCUUGAAUUUUUUCUUCAGUUCUUUCAGCUUGAGAAACGCUGAGUGUGUUCUUCCCUUUUGGUUUUCCAUCUCCAGCUCUUUGCACAUAUCAUUAUAAUACUUUGUCGUCUUGAGACGCCCUUUGAAAUCUUCUGUUCAGGUCUUUUACUUCAUCAGUUCUUCUUUUGCUUUAGCUGCUUGACGUUCGAGAGCAAGUUUCAGAGUCUCCUCUGACAUCCAUCUUGGUCUGGUCUGUCUUUCUUUUUAAUCAACAGCCAUGGAAGCAGCAGUCAAGAAAUCAAAAGACUCAUUGCAUUGGGAAAAUCUGCUGCAAAGGACCUCUUCAAAGUGUUGAAGAGCAAAGAUGUCACCUUGAAGACUAAGGUGCGCCUGACCCAAGCCAUGGUAUUUUUAAUCGCAUCAUAUGCAUGUGAAAGCUGGACAAUGAAUAAGCAAGACCGAAGAAGAACUGACGCCUUUGAACUGUGGUGUUGGCGAAGAAUAUUGAAUACACCAUGGACUACCAAAAGAACGAACAAAUCUCUUACAAGUAGUACAACCAGAAUGCCCCUUAGAAGGAUGGCCAGACUGUGUGUUACAUACUUUGGACGUGUUGUCAGGAGGGAUCGGUCCCCGGAGAA